UGGGGAAUAUUGCACAAUGGGCGCAAGCCUGAUGCAGCCAUGCCGCGUGUAUGAAGAAGGCCUUCGGGUUGUAAAGUACUUUCAGCGGGGAGGAAGGUGUUGAGGUUAAUAACCUCAGCAAUUGACGUUACCCGCAGAAGAAGCACCGGCUAACUCCGUGCCAGCAGCCGCGGUAAUACGGAGGGUGCAAGCGUUAGUCGGAAUUACUGGGCGUAAAGCGCACGCAGGCGGUCUGUCAAGUCGGAUGUGAAACCCCCGGGCUCAACCUGGGAACUGCAUUCGAAACUGGCAGGCUAGAGUCUUGUAGAGGGGGGUAGAAUUCCAGGUGUAGCGGUGAAAUGCGUAGAGAUCUGGAGGAAUACCGGUGGCGAAGGCGGCCCCCUGGACAAAGACUGACGCUCAGGUGCGAAAGCGUGGGGAGCAAACA
rnacentral:rRNA from 1 species